CCCCCGGGCGUGGGGGCGGCCGAGGCUCCCCCGGUAGCCGAGAGAGAAUUUAAGAUACCAAGAUACCAAAACUGCGUUGAUGCUGAUCUAAUGUGACCUGGGGCGGAGAGGGUUACAGGAAAGACAAACACACACCAAAGAAGCAACGAAGUACGUACAGGAUACCAGAUGGAGAGGAGAGCUAAA